rnacentral:rRNA from 1 species
UACAUAGGGAGCAAGCGUUAUCCGGAAUGAUUGGGCGUAAAGCGUCUGUAGGUGGUUCAAAAAGUCUACUGUCAAAUACGUUGGUUCAACCAACGGCAGGCAUUAGAGUACUAUUGAACUAGAGUAUGGUAGAGGUAGAGGGAAUCCCUAGCGUAACAGUGAAAUGUGUAGAUUUUAGGGAGAACACCAGCGGCGAAGGCGCUCUACUGGGCCAUUACUGACACUGAGAGACGAAAGCUAAGGGAGCGAAGGGG